CAAUCGUCUUUGAUCGGGAGAGUAAUGAGGUUUACGUGUAUUGAAUAGAGAGUCGGAUUAGGUGAAAGCCGGCAUACACUAACUACAUGAAGCGCACCCGGGAGAUGGUCUUUCCAACAGCAUUCGUUUUAUGAAUGGUUCAGUAGAUAGACCCGGCUAACCUUCGUUAUGGGUAAUGAAGUGAAAUGCAAUGGUAUAUACCUAGCAUUUACUUAGAGUGGUACCGCGGGAAUAUAGCUCUCGUCUCUAUU
rnacentral:ncRNA from 1 species